UUGAAAGAUCACCUGGGUCCACUUCUUUUACAGAAGAGGAAAUUGAGACCCAGAGGUAACAACUGUUCCGGUUCAUAAGCAGCGGAUGGAGGUAGAACCCCAUCUCUGGCCUUGUCCCGCUACGGCAACACAGAGGAGUGAAGUUCCUGCAACCCAGCACUACAGCCCACUGUCAUCUUAAGGCCUCUGCUUCGGGCAGAUAUAUAUUAAUAAAAGCCAUGGGGAAACUCUGGUAGACAUAAAGGGAAGGGAGGAGAGGCAGGAAGCCCACACAGGGGCUAAAUAAAACACUGCAAACUCCCCCUCCCAUUAAAUGUAUUGUUAUAUACAGACACUCUUCCCUUUCCCUUCUGACCUCUGCCUGGAAACUUUUCCCCCUUCUACUCUCAAUUUUUAAAACUUCUAAUGUACAAAAGUACUCACACUCAAAUGAAAGGAUCUGAGAAAGAAAAAGAAGGAAAAAAAAUCACUUUGAAACCCCCAGGCCUUAUCAGUUUUAGAUUUCACGCCAUCUGGAGUCACCCCAGUGGAUGCCCACCCAGCUCAGCUCUGCCAGCGUCCCCUUCCCUUCCCAAACCACCUUCCAAAUCCCAAGUGCCGCAAGAGGAACCUGUUGCCUGGACCUGUAAUUAGCGCCCUCUCCCCUCCUUCCCACUGCUGUCCCCCUCGGCCACGAAGCGGCUGUGCCUUCUCAAAACCGAUCCCCACAGCCACAGUUGGUAACGCGUGCUGGGGCUUGGCUGACAAAGAAAAGUUGCAUUUGCUCUCUGGUGGAGUUUCUCUGCACAGUCCCCAGGCCGGAAAGGCAGACUCUCCCGGAGCCGAACCCCCUCCUCCCCAAGCCUAACCUUGGCAGCAUCUGAAGCGGCAUUGGGACAGGCUCUAAAAAGAAAACCCCAAGGCCAGCCACAGCAGCAAACUUUUGAGCCAACUCACUAGCUCAGUUUAAAACUACCCAGUUCUAGCACAGAAGCAAAAGAAGGCGCUGUCCCUUUAAAUGGGGCUGUCAAUGCCCAGAUCGUUCCUGAAAAGGGGCGAACAACAACAACAAAAAGCAACCUACCGUCUUGGAAUCUAACUCAUGGUGGGGCUGACCUAAUACUUUAUCUACACUUGCUGGGUCUGCGAACGUGACGAAACCGAAGCCUCUGAAAGGAGACAAAGAGGGAGAAAAACAAAUAAGAAAAUGUGACACCACUGAAAGCAACAAGGAGUGAGACCAACGGCUGAAUGAAGACCAAAAGUUGCCCCCACGCACCCCCACCCCACUUCCCUCCUCCAAUUCGCCUCCUGCCUACAGCCCUCCACCUCGCAAGAAAAAGCAGCCAGAGAAUUGUCUGGAAACUCCACUGGAACAAGACUUCAUCUGUUUCACCUCCAGCACCUAGAACAAUGCCAACCUGUGGUAGGAGAUCACCAGAGUCUCACUCCGUCACCCAGGCUGAAAUGCAGUGGCAUGACCUUAGCUCACUGCAACUUCUGUCUCCCAGGUUCAAGCGAUUCUUGUGCCUCAGCCUCCCAAGUAGCUGGGAUUACAGGUAUGAGCCACCACGCAUGGCUGAUUUUUAUAUUUUUAGUAGAGAUGGGGUUUUGCUAUGUUGUCCAGGCUGGUCUUGAACUCCUGACCUCAAGUGAUCUGCGCACCUCAGCUUCCCAAGGUGUUGGGAUUACAGGAGUGAGCCACCAUACUUAGCCCACAAUAAUUUCUUAAUAUCAUCUAAUACUUGCUCCAUAUACAAAUUUCUACUUGUUUUCCAAAAUUCCUUUUACAGGUGGUUUAUUCAAACCAAGAUCCAAUCAAGAACCAUGCAUUGCAAUGGACUGUGUCUCUGAAGUCCCUUUGAGGCUGUAACAGUAUCUUGUUCCAGCCCCAGCCAACCUCUCUCACUCCUCAGUUUCUUUGUGUUUAACCUUGACGUGUUAAUGAAAUGAGGCUUAAUGAAUAGUAUGCUAAGUAGCUGAAUGUAGCAUAACUGUGCACUCAUUUUCUUAUUUCUGGAUAUUUCUGUGGAUUCUAAUGCUUCCCUAGCAUCAAUGAUGUGGCAAAGAACAUCCUUAAGUCUUAGUUUGUCAUAAAAGUACAAAAUUAUUUGCCAUCUGGUGUGUUAUUGUGCUAACCUGCCUGCUUCCUCAUCCUCUCUUUGAUGUAUAUCUGGUGACCUAUGAUAUCAACUUGGAUGCUUGUCUUACAGUCAUUCUGUUCUCAGGAAUUUGAUUAUGUCACAGUCUAAGCUGGGUGCUCCAGGCAAACUGGUCUAUCUGCCUUUGCUUACACAAAAUGAGUUAUGCCCAAUUUUCUCCUCCUCAGUCCAUCUGCCCCUCCUCACCCUGUCCAAUUUCCACCCAUCCCAAAGCCUCCAGCCAAUUUAUUUCUUCCGUGCCUGCCUCCUUCCUAGGUCUCUUCAGCAGAAGUGGCCUCCUGCUUUUGUGCCACUCUGAUGACAGUGAUGCUGCUGGGUUGUACUUGGCCUCUGGGCUUCCAGCAAAUCUUCUUUCCCCUCUAGUGAGUGGGGACUGUGAUUUAUGUAUCUCUGCCUUCUCCACAGCACCCAGCACUAUCCCCUGCUCGCAACUGCACCAUGCAUACUCACUGACAGAAUAAAUGGACAUUUUGUGAUACAUCAGUGAUGGGAUGCAGGGUGGCAGCCA